UAUUUGGGAACUAACCAACAGACACUGUGUGAGGCUCUUCUACAAGCUGAAUAUCUGAAGAUGUUAAAACCUCCCUGUGGGAUUGGCCUUCUUUUUUCUUAAUUUUGAGAUGGAAAAACACUGUUUUGAAUUUCUUCUUCGCUCCAGUUGGCCAGCUUCAUUGAAAAAAGGAGCGAUGUUUCCAGCCUCAUGGAUGAUCCAAGGAAGUUAUUCCUCAGCUUUCAGGAAGAAGCUGGAGCCAGUGGAAAUGUUACAACCCUGAAAGGGGAAUAAUGGAACAGGACUGAAGCUUUUAGGAUUAUAGCACUACCUCCCAUACAACUGAAAGGAAAUGGAUAACUAUGUGUGGAAACAGAGAGGCGGUGGUGACCAGUGUGCUCCAGACCUCGUCUUUGUGCUGCUGCCUCUGGGCCGUGGAGUCCCAGCAAACACCUCAUACAGGUCUGCUUGCUUUGGAUUACUUCUUCACAAAGG